UAGCUUGCUACUUUGCUGACGAGCGGCGGACGGGUGAGUAAUGCUUGGGAACAUGCCUUGAGGUGGGGGACAACAGUUGGAAACGACUGCUAAUACCGCAUAAUGUCUACGGACCAAAGGGGGCUUCGGCUCUCGCCUUUAGAUUGGCCCAAGUGGGAUUAGCUAGUUGGUGAGGUAAUGGCUCACCAAGGCGACGAUCCCUAGCUGGUUUGAGAGGAUGAUCAGCCACACUGGGACUGAGACACGGCCCAGACUCCUACGGGAGGCAGCAGUGGGGAAUAUUGCACAAUGGGCGCAAGCCUGAUGCAGCCAUGCCGCGUGUGUGAAGAAGGCCUUCGGGUUGUAAAGCACUUUCAGUCAGGAGGAAAGGUUAACGGUUAAUACCCGUUAGCUGUGACGUUACUGACAGAAGAAGCACCGGCUAACUCCGUGCCAGCAGCCGCGGUAAUACGGAGGGUGCGAGCGUUAAUCGGAAUUACUGGGCGUAAAGCGUACGCAGGCGGUUUGUUAAGCGAGAUGUGAAAGCCCCGGGCUCAACCUGGGAACUGCAUUUCGAACUGGCAAAAUAGAGUGUGAUAGAGGGUGGUAGAAUUUCAGGUGUAGCGGUGAAAUGCGUAGAGAUCUGAAGGAAUACCGAUGGCGAAGGCAGCCACCUGGGUCAACACUGACGCUCAUGUACGAAAGCGUGGGGAGCAAACGGGAUUAGAUACCCCGGUAGUCCACGCCGUAAACGAUGUCUACUAGAAGCUCGGAGCCUCGGUUCUGUUUUUCAAAGCUAACGCAUUAAGUAGACCGCCUGGGGAGUACGGCGGCAAGGUUAAAACUCAAAUGAAUUG
rnacentral:rRNA from 1 species